CUACUUACCUGGCAGGGGAGACACCAUGAUCACGUAGGUGGUUUUCCCAGGGUGAGGCUCCACCAUUGCACUUGGGCUGUGCUGACCCCUGCGAUUUCCCCAAAUGCGGGAAACUCGACUGCGUAAUUGGUGGUAGGCAGUCUUUGGGUUCCG
rnacentral:snRNA from 1 species